AGAACCUUUGCAGCGUGCACAACUGCUGUCUCCUGCCAGCUUUCUGAAUCCUUGCGUCUGUGCUGUACUUCUUACUCUGAACUACGUGACGCCUGAGAUGUAGCUAAGUCUUCCCAAGUCUCUUGGUAUGCAGAGGAAGGAGGAAGGUACUGAAGGUUAUACAACUAACACCUCUGUACUUAAUGCUGCUGAAAUUUGCUUUAAGGUCAUACACAACUGGAGGUCAAGAAAGCUGUUUCCAUAAGAAUUAGUUUCAACGCAGUGCAGCGCUGUCCACCUGUAGUAGUGUUGAAAAUAUGCAUUUAUGUGCUCUGAAGGCUGAGCUCUUCCACUUGCAGCGUUUCGCGGCCCGAUGCAUGCUUUGGAUAAAAGAGGUCUGUGUUUCUAGCUGCUGCUGCAGCCAUUACUGAGGGAAAAGCUGGCACUGUCAGGAUUAAAUAUGAGAAGUGGUGCCACAGUAUCACAUUAGAUGGAGUGUUUUACUUAUGCUUUCGUAAUUGAGCUACUGGCUGUUGCGUUAGUUAGAGAAAGCAACAGAGGAGCUUCAGGCUGAAUAUCCACCCUUGUCAGUCAGUUUCUCUUGCUCUUUUCUGCUUUUUGUUGUUGUUAUUUUUUAAACCUUUUGCUAUCAGCAUUCCUUUCAUAGUGCUGGUUCUGACCAGAGACCUCUGCAGCUGUGCAAUGAAUGCUGUUACGUUCAGCAGGAUCAAAGCAAGUUGCGUGUGCUGCCUUGUGCAUGCUGGGAUUGGUGGAUUCAGCUCCCGGCAGCUUGAAGCCAUUGCUCUGGAGGUGUAGGAGGGUACAGAACCAGCGUGCCCAUACAGCCACAGCACUGCUCCGGGAUCUGUGCAAGGAUCUCACUGCAGCAUUCUUCCUUUGGCAACACCAACGCUUGGCAGGUAAACCACACUUCAGAUGUACAAGCAAACAGCGCGUGUCUAUUAAAUUAAUGGAAAACUCAUUUUAUUUUAAACUCUGUAAAAGCUGUAAUUAUAAAUAUGACAAACUUAAAUGAACAUACAUCACUGGGGAGUACAGGUAAAUCAGCAAGUUUUUUUCCAGUUACUUUUCUGUUGGAAUCUUUACGUAUCCUGAUGUGUAAUGUGAUAGUAGCUGCCUUCAUGGGUAUAAAAAUAAGCCUCUGGUGUAUCAAAGUAUUUGUGAGCAGCGAGAAUGUAUAAAGCAACAGUUAACGUAGGAAUUCUUCUACUCUUUGGCAUUAUCACACAAAUUAAUAUGUCCUUGUUUGACUAAGCAAUGAAAACCUCUGUGGUUCUGUACGUAGAUUUAAUUGUAAGCAGCCAGUUGUUCCAACACCGUAUUGUCUGCAUGGUCAGCUGUGUAAUCACUGUACAAAACAGUUCAGUGAGACUUGCAGCAGCAAAGUAUGACUGAAACUCAAGACUCAUGAGGCAGAUGCAAGAGGAAGUGUUGUUACCAUUCAUCCAUGUACUGAAUUGCAGAAAGCCUUGGAAAACUGAUGGGUCUGACUACGAAGGACUCAUCCCAUGCAUUCCCAGCAUAACAACCAGAGAUGCAUGUGCUGGGGGGGGGGGGGUGGCUCAUCCUGAGUUACCAAAAGCAGCACACAGGGUCUUGUAUGGAGCUCUAAGGUAGGAUUUAAAACAAACAAAAACCCCAAACCAAAAUACAGAAAAGCUUUCUCAGUGUAUAAGCAUGGAGAACGUUAAAACUUCUGAAGAGGGUUCUCCAGUUGUCCCUCAGCACCAAUGACAGAAGUAAAAAUCAUCUAUUUGUUGUAAUCUUCCCUCAGUGAAUCAAAGAAAGUAUAAACGCUCUUAGAGCUCCUCCCAACAUCCAGCUUUCAUUGGUAUUUGGCUGCCUUGUUUUGCAGCUUGGACAGUUUUCAAUAGUCACAUACUGUACACUCAGAGUGAAGUAUGCUUGUUGGUAAAUUUAAUGAGGUUUUGUAUUUUCAUGUUUAAAAGGCAGAGAAGAGUUGAGGGUCAUAACUGUCAUGGUGGAAGUGAUGUGGGCAGUGUUCCCUUGCUCCACUCUGAGCUGUGGCUGUGCAGCUCUUUCAGUUCCCCUCCCUACAGCUGGAAGUUUUGCAGUACAACCUUUCCCAGCUUAACUCAGUAUCUAAUAUUCUGUCAUAGCAUUUUUUAAUCUCUAUGGUGUAAUCAUAGCAAUGAAGUAAGGGAAAGAAUAACAUAACCCGUGUCUUCAGCUGAGGCUGUGCUGUAAUUUAAGGAGCAGUUCACCCUCCACUCAUUUUUUUCAGAUUUGUGGAAAAAAAAAAAAAAGAGUUAUGUAUUUGGCAGAAGAGAUCAAAGGAAAAUACAGAUACUUAUGUGAACAAUUUCUCUAAGAAAAAAGGGGCAAGAAAAUACCAUAAGAGGAAUUUGUUACAAGCAGAAGGGGCAGAGACUGGAGCGUGUUACAAGAAUAUUUUCUAUUUCCUUGGAAACACUACACCUGAGCAUUCUGUAAACAGUGAUAUUCCACUGACCAUGUAGGUGCAGUAUUUGAAUAAGACUUAAUUAAAAGGGCAGCAAUACCAAACUUCAGUCCUGUCCCCUUACAGGCAUAAGCCCCAUCCACUGACUACUGUGUGUAACGUGUUGCUAAGAUACAGCAUUGGUGGAGCAUUGAGAAAGUAAGUACGUUCCUUGCUCUUGCUUCAGUACAAUAUGGAAGCUGAGCCUUAUAUGCUUGUUUCUUCCACCAUAAGCUUUGGCACCAGCAUGUGCUUGGAGGAGGAAGAAAUAAAUAAACAGAAAAAACUUACUCUAGACCAGAAUCCUAGUACAGAUGAGAACUUGAUUUUACUGUGGUCUACCAGCUUGAUCUUAACAGCUGGGGAGAAGUAAGAGCAGUUCUGGCAUCUGCCUUUUGUAAUUUUGAAAGUUCAGAUGUCAUAGGUGAUAAAAUACAUGCAGGACUGCUGCCCUGCUUUAACCUGAGCAAAACACAUAACACAGGGUUACAGGGAACACGUAAGCAAAUGAAGUUUAAAUUCAGUAGGGAGGAACGGUCCUUGGCACAACUGGCUGCACCCAGAAGCCCAGGACAGCUGCGAAGAACCUAAUAGGUUUUUGCUCAGCUUAUGCCCAUGCUGUUCUCUGUGCUGAUAUGCUGCAAAAGGUGGUACAUCACACUGAGAAAGCUCAGCACAAGGCCCACAUGGCCUCUGAGAGAACUGCAGUCCGAAAAGGUGUGUGUGUGUGUGUGUGUGUACUCACUGUCCUUUGAAAGCCAGACGUUCACUAACCAGCUGCCUGAUGGUGGAGAUGAAGUAGAAAGGAGCUCCGACUAUCUGGAGAGGGCCAAGAGACUUCUGCAGGAGUAAUUUUACCCCCAGGUAUUUCUGGUUCUUCUGUAGCACAUGCUGAGUUUCCUAACAAACAAGUGGCACCUGUGCUCUGAAAAUGCCACCUUUUUGCUUGAAAACUUGACAAACAGGAAGGGCAAAGAGCUUCCUGUGGUGGCUUUAAAAGCACCCUUUUGUCACAGGCAGUUCUGUCAUUCAAGGAAAAAACAACCAGCAACAUUAAGAUCAGUUAGUAUUUGAAUUAAGAAGGAAAGAAACUCAGUUAUCGUUAAUCCUCUUCAGCUAUUCUGUGUGUGUAUAUCUUAUAGGAAUGCAGGCAAUAGCCUUCUAACAAUGUUUUUCCUGGAGUCAUCCCAAUUCCACUGCUUUCUUAAGAACUUUAACCGUGUUCCUACUGCUGCCACUGGCCAACUGCUACACUUUUUCAUCAGUUUCAAUUUAGAAGCAAAAGGUACCUUCCAGAACAGAGAUCUUCAAUACCAGGAGCAGCAAGCCCCCUUCUAGCAGCUGCAGUUCAGGAAGGGAGGAGGCUUAAAUGAUCCUUCUCCUAUGAGCCAAACACUUGUAAAAGUAACAAGGAUAAAACAUUGCUUUGCUAGAGUGCCAAUAGUGGGUAGUUCACUCUCCCAGCAGCACCAGCAAAUGAGGCUACUUCAGUUGGUACAGAGAAUCUUCUGGCACACCUUUGGAUGAAAACCUUUUCCCCUCUGCCAAGUGAAGGGCAUGCUCUGCUCACUGCUGGUGGUUACCCUCCCCAUCUCAAUGCUGAUCCCCAUCUGGUGGUGGGGUCUGGCAGCUUGCAGUAAGAAAGCCAUAUCUGCCUUGUGCUAUGAUGCGUACUAAAGUAACACAAAAUUAUUGUUCAGAUAGUAAGAGUGAAUCCUUUGCUUUUUUUAGAAGUAGCUAAAGCUGAGGUCUUCCUUAUCUUUUACUCCUGUGUACAUACUUGAGAUAAGCUGAACAUGAUUAGUGGCAGUCUGGAAUAUGUGCUUAGCAGCUAUGAACUCACAUUUAAACGUGAGAAGUGCUUCAAUGCUGUAAACAGUCGAGGCAGCAGUAUAAAUGGCAAUUACUACAUAGUUGGGCCUGAGAAUGAAUAAGCAGAAUACACAAGGAUAUUUUUCUUACAUUUUUACAUUUCAGAAUAAAAUCUUCUACCCCUAGACCUGUACUUUAGGAGGAGAGAAUUUCAGUGUUAGUUUUUCUCUGAACUCACUAGAUUUUGAUUUGAACUGUAGAAAAACUGCAGCAAAUUAUGUUCUUCCAGUUUGUCUGAAUAUAGCACUUUAGCUUGUUCACAGGCCUGCUGAACAGUGCUCAUGCCAAUACUAUAGCAGCAAAAACCACAUCUAAUUUUCUGUCACGAUCAACUGCCAAAUUGGUGACUGUGUUCUUGGCUAUAACUUAGAAUGCGAUUUUAUUUUAUGCAUAUCUGUAGUAAGUUAUUCACCUUUCUGAGGCUGCAGGGCAGUUCAGGAGUACGUCCUUAAACAGCCAUGCAUCAGUCUGUCUCCUCACUGAAGCUGCGAUACCCUAAGAGGAGAAGUGCUAUUAAAAUCUAAGAAAAAAGGGCCCUCUUGUUGAGGCAGGAAGGUGGUGGGGAUAAUGUUGUAGACUCCGGCGAGGAUGUUCUCCACUUCCAGGUAGCAAAAUCCACACCUAUGAUAAAAGAAGCGAUUUCUUACAACCAAGGUCUGAAAUGUUUCAAGCAGUGAAGAUUCCAUUGAAUCAACUAUUUAUUACCUGUAGUCCCCACUGCUCUUCUUCUGAAAGCCAUAGGAACCAGGAUCUCCUACUGUUGAGACAGUGACAAUUUCAAACCCAACGCUGUACUGCCUGCAAGCCAAGUGACAGACCAUUACUUUAAUUGUGGGGGGAAUCGGGGCUAGCAGGAGGAGAGUAAGUUUAUGAAAACUGUAUAGCUGGAAUACAUUUAGGUUUUGUCACAUUUGUGACAGAAAUGUCAGAGAAGCUUACCGUGACAUGAAUGUGCAGAUUGGAGGAAGAUGCAUUUUGGUUUCAGAACUCUAUCUGGUAAAUGUCUGCUAGCUUUCUGCCUCUGCACCAAAGCAGAGCCCAAGUGGUUAAACUUGCAGUGAGAUGCUCCUGGGCUGAGCAGCACAGGUUUUGGGCUGUAAUCUGAUCACCAUCAGAGGAACGUGAAUGUUGGUGAUCUCAGCACAAUUCUCAUGUUUCACUGCAACCUGGGACAAUUUGUCUACUACCUCUUCAUGAAUGUGGCAGGCACUGCUGGCUCUGUCAGUCAAACUACUCUAGUAUGACCUACUAAUGCAGAAAAUGCAAACAGAAAAGGAAUACCAGAAGUGAGAAAGUGCUUCCUCUUACCCUUUAUUAGGUAUCAUAAAGAAUACUGACACAUACUGCAAAGGGGUUUGAGAGGAUCAUACCACUUGAACCACGUUUUAAGUUAGACCUGUUUUAUAUUCUACUUUCUUGAAUUUCCUCAGUAGCAAGCAUGCAGAUUUAAAUCACUAUUGAUGGCAACGUUAGAAACAAACAGCGCUAUACCUGCUUAAUAUAAAGCUUAAUAUAGCUGCUUCCCCUAUCUUAUCUCUGGCUUUUCCAGGAUCUUCUCACCCCUCCCUUGGAGGACUGACAAUUUAUCCUUAGCGCGUGAUACUCUCAGUGUACAGAAGCAUGUAUGACAUACCUUGGUCCACGCAGUUCAAUUAGUAAUGGCCCACUCUUGUCCAGUUGGAAUUGAUAGAUGGGGUUAUUUUUGUAGCUGUCUCUGAAGUUCCCACAUCCUCCAGCACUGUGACCUUUCCAUUGUCCGUUAACCUAAGAAGUCAGAAAUACAGAAAAUAUUUUAUAUCCUGAGAAUUUGUGUAUAGAUAAGCAAUGCAAGGCUUGAAGCACCUCUCACUUCAGUUGUCACUGACUACAGUAAUCUUGGAAUCCUUAAAGAGUAAGUGACAGUCAGAACGUGAUGGUAUUCAGCAAGUUUAACUACCUGACUCAAAGCUUUAGAUCCCUUAUGAAGGUAAUAUUAUUCAGCUCACAAAUACCAGGUAGCUGCUUCUGACUAUAAAAGAUCGCAUCUGAUGAAGGAUCUCUAUUCCCAUCUAUCCUGGAGCUGCUCAACUGUGCAGGUUUUUUUUGCUGCUGUUUUCCCUGACAAAACCAAAACAACAACAAACCUUUGUUGUGCUAAAUGAGAAACAAAAAACAGCAUAAGUACAACACUACUGGUGUUGUAGCCUUUGCUUUGGGAAUCUCUCCCUCCAGCACUGCCCAUUCACCACUGUGCACUCUGAGAAGCAGCACUACUGAGACAAAGAUAGCCAUAAGGACAGGCUCCAAAAGGACAAAGAAAUACAAGAGACAGAACGUUGCUCAGAUUUUAAGAAACGGGCCAUCUGUUUGCAAGUUCCUCCUGCUAGUCAUUAAAUGAAACUUCUAAAACAUGCCAGGCAUUCACAAAGUUAUAGCUGAGCUGCAGUCCCUAUAUGUUACUUCCCUCCCCUCUCUGUCAAACCUGUGGUUUAGUUUCUCUACUCAGUGUCCAAAACCCUCAAAUGUGACAAGUCAGGAAAGUAAGGGGGGUUUCUUCCCCCACCACACAACCUGAGGCUGCUGUGAAUUUCCAGGCCUUUUCUACCUCAACUGUGCUUUCCUCCAGGAAUCCCACUGCAGCUGGGUUAGCACAACAGAUGACCACCCAACUUCGCUACAAGCCAUCUCAACAAUGCUUUCUUUGACUGGCAAAUUGUGAAUUACUUAUCUGCUUGUCUUUAAAUGCAGUGACUGCAAUACAGUUACCAAACAAGAAUUAAGCAGGCAACUAGCCUUCUGUAUUUAAUCAUUUAGACAGAGCUAGUUAUGGACAGAUAAAACAUGCCUUUUAUUUGAAUAGUAGACAGACAUCUUCAAAUAGUUAACAGGAGGCUUCCACGUACUUAAUUCUCUUUUGAAACUAACACAGUGUAAAACAGAUGACAUGUCUUAAGCAGGCAUGUCAUCUUCGGUGCAUUUUUCACUUCUUAAACCAUUCUGCCAAACUAAGCUUAGUUUUUUAGAGCUAAGUGGAAACAGUGGUUUCUGGAACAAUUGAGGAUACGGUCACAUUGUUCCCAGGAAUCUCUCUGGCUACUUACUGUGCUCCUGAGCUGGUGAGAUUCAAGGACAGUAAGAACAGCAGCACAUGGCCUCCAGACCACCUGGGCUUCUCACUUAUUUUAGCCAAGCAUUUGCUCUUACCACCUGGUGCUGCUCUACUCUCAGGGAGCAUUUCUAUAUGAAAUACACCAUCUGUGUACUGUCUUAUUCCUAUCUGACAGCGUGAGUGCUUAUCCCAGUGAUAACAGACCUUUGAGAUUUCUUAGUAACUUUAAGACCUGUAAGGUAUUGUGACCAUCAUAAGUAAGAAGUCCAUUUGUCACAGUAUCAGUAGUGGUGCCUUUGCUUUGCCACUGCUGCUUAUGCCCUGUGGUGCCAAGAAUUUUAGAAGACAAUAAUGCACUUCCUCAAAAGUGAGCAACACUCUGCACACUCAUUACAUAUUAGGGGAGAGGUUGUUACUCCAAAGGUUCCACAAAAGAUUUUGUAUCUGCACCAGUACAGCUGUAAUACUCUUAUGAUGAAGAUAGAGCCUAUAUACUGAAUAGGACUUUCAUGCUGCUAAAAGUUACGCCACUAUCCUUACUAGUAAAAAGAGUUAGCCAGCUACCAAAGGCUUUUUUAUUAUGAACAAUGCUUAAAGCAGCUAAUUGUUCGGCAAGUUAUAUGCAACCUAAGCACAGGGUUGAUCUUGCACUAGGUAUGCUAGAUUAAGCUCUAGUUGACCUCCUUAAUUAAAGAAGUUCGGUUUUUUAGAAGACAGCCUGAGCUGGCAUUUCUGGACAUUAGUGGAAAGUUAUGUUUAGAAACCAUAUACAUCUCAAACAUAGAAAGACCACAGCAGAAUAAUUACUUAGUAACUCAUAAAAAAAUUCUUUACCCGUUUGGAAAUGGUGUAAGGUGUAGGGAUCUUGGAAAAGGUAAACUUGCACAAGGAGUACACCUGUGUGGUAAAAGCAGACGUUGGUCAUACGUUCAUCUGGCAUUUCUCAAGACAUAUUAAAAGAAAAAACAAAAAGCAGAACUACCUACAAAUAUUUUUUUAGAUACUUGCUAUAUUUACAUGCUUUAAAAACAACCACAAAGGAAAUACAGCCUUAGUACUUGGGCUCCAGUGACUUCUUUCUGUCUUACCUAUCUCUUAUCAGAAGGCAUUUCAGAGGACAAGGAAAGGUAAUGCCUGAUGGCAAAAGGAGUUCCCCACCACCACUGUAUUGUAUUGACACCCUAUAUUGUCUCAGCUGCAAUGGAGAAUAUUAUCAAGCAGGUGAUCCAGUGAUUCUGCUCCAUCAUUCACAGCCUCCCUCCCCUAAGUAACAUGGGCCCAGAAGUGUGCUCAUUCAUCACAUUGACAAAUAAAGGACACUGUGCAUAUUUAUUUACAUUUGUUAUGAAAUCAACAGUACAUACCCUGAUGGUGUAAUGGAUAGUGUUUUGUUUCUCAUACUGAGACACCACUAAUGUGAACGUAUGCGUUCCUGGAGAGGUCAGCUUUAUCUUGGUCAGAUAAUGAGGACUGUUGAUCCGAAUGCCAUCGAUAUAUGGAACAGGAUCAGCUGAAAAAGAAAAGAAUGAACACUUCUCCCAGUCAGAAACCUCCCAGCCAUUUAUAAUCAGUGAAUUCUGCCCAGAAAGUCAGACUGUUGGUACUAUCCUUAGACUACAAGCAGACUUGAGUGCUUUCAGAAGAAAAGAGCCUGAAGAUUUGCUCAUAGAAAGCACGGACAGGUAAGAGCAACUAUCAUUUUCUAAGAUGUACAUCACACGACAGGACAAAUUCUGCACUUGAAAGUACAGCCUAAAUGACUUGAGAGAACUACUUGUCCAGCUCUCACCGACGUCUCUGUUCAAAGGAGUCCUACUAUGAUUAUGUUGAAAUUUAUAGAAAAAGAUAAGGAAUGUUUGAGCACUCCAUAAAAUUCAAUGAGAAGUCUGCUAGAGAAGCUCCCUUCUCUGUUGAUAGGGCAGCUGCAGUUGGUAGACAAGACUUUGCAAUAUGUUCGUGUCUUUGAGAAACAAAAACACAUCUCCAUCUCUCUCCCUCUCUCUUACGAUCACUACACAAUACAAAUCCAGUAUUCAUUAUAAGCAUCCCAAACAUUUUCCUUUUACAAUUACACAAUACGAUUUGUUAUCUGGUCUCUAAUUGGUUACUUCCAGAAUUCUUUUAAUUUUAGUGAAGCAGAAACAAAUCUAGCCAAUUACUUCAAUAGACCCAGGAUCAGGUCCUUUGUUUUCUUCCACAAAGCAAAUGAUUAAUAUAAAACAACCAGAAGCUUAGGAAUGGGAAAUCCCUGAAUCAGUGCCAAAGGAUUAACCUGUUUUCUUCUGAUCUCAUUUUAACAGAUGGUAAAAAUAACACUGUAGCUUGACCAAUCUAUCUCCAUGGAAAAAGGUUUCAAAUGAGUUUGAGCUCAUGAAAUUAAAAGUUUAUGAAAGAGUUUGGUUAUCGAGACAAAACAGACCAAUCAUCCAGCUCUCCUUAAUGGUCUUGCUGGAAAACUGCCUUUUUCAACGUACAGAAGUGUAUUGUUUGCUGACCUGAAUGUUUUCAGUAUAACAGAUAGAAAAUAAGCACUGCUACAACUAACAGCAUCACAGGCAUGCCUUGGGCAGUAAGGACAAGCAAAUUCUUUAACGAGAUCAGCUCGUGCACAACCUGAUGUUUUGGGAAGGUCUCAGUGGAUGUUUUCUACUGAAAGACAGCUUGGAUUCUAGGCAAACUGGUUGGCAGAGUACACUGAACAAGACCAGAGAUGAACCCCACAACCAUUAUCAGCUAUUCCAAUAGGUUAAAAAAAACAAAAACAAACAAAAACAUUAAACAAAGAAACCCAAAUGAGAAAAAAAAGCACAGAUUCCACUCUUUGUUCAGAAGAGCUUUAAAAGCUCCUAUUAUCUGUUACAUGAGCAUUAACCCUUACUUCCUGUGUCUAUCUUUCCUGGAAUAUAAUAUACAUGGCCUUUUUGCAGCUGCAAUAAAGCUCCAAAAAUCAAGUAGGGUUAAGAUCUUAAGCACAUACAGCUUGGCUUAUUCCUUCCAUGCAGUCUGUUAAGGUGGUCAGAGGGCUGAACGACUACAUCAGAAGACUGACCUCAUAGAGUGAGCUUUGCAGCAUUAAAACAAACUGUGCCUCUCUUUCCCACAGAACUCUCUGCAAGCGUUCAUUUAUUCUUAAGCAUCACCUUUUUUGACAGUUGAGGUAUACUAACCUGGAUAGUAAACUUUUUUGCCAUCAGUCUUGUAUACAACCAUAGUAAUAAAUUCCCUAUUGUGUGCAAAGUCAUCCUAUAAAAAAAAAACCAAAACAAAUGGAGUUAUAAGCUUCUGUGGAAUAUAACUAGCAUUUAAUCUAAAUCAAACACACAUUCUCCCACUCUUUUGAUCACCACAUGCUAUGGUCCGAUAGUUGCGUUUAUCUUUUUAAAUGUCUGAAUUAAACCAACUACCACUAAUUCAACUGAAAAGAAGUUCAGGCCCUUGGGAGUCAGAAUUACUUUGGUACUCUUAUGGUGGAAUAUAAUCCCCUCACUCAAUUUUUACACUGGGUCUCUCUCGACCAUCUUGUAAGCAGGUAACCGUACUGCUGAUUUAAAGUUUAUGCAUAUACAUGCACACAUACCUGGAACAUGCAACAUAAUACUGUUUAUAUUUACAUCACAGACAGAUACUACAGAGCUCAGAAUAUGGAAAGCACAAGGAGAGAACUCCCACCUUAUCUGUGAUGUGUCUACUCAGCAGCACCCAGACCACAGCUCCACCCUGUGGGCACUGCACCUCCAGCUUGUACUGCGGGUUGUUGGCCAGGCUGUAGGCAUCCUUCACCGGGCCUUGCUUUGCAUCCCAAGUACUAGGAGCAAUGCAGACAUUUCAGCAGAUCAGAUUUGAAAACAAAGAGACUUAUACUUCUCUAACUGUAGGAUGCUUCAUAUGAGCUGUUAUGUCCAAAAGCUUGCUUUUUUUUUUUCCUCCCUCCCUCCUCCUCUACAGACUUCAGGUACACUUUUGAAUAAAAAUUAACCUGCUUAAUGUUUGGAAAGGUGCUUGGUACCUUGAGGUAUCUGAUUACCAAACCUGCCUUGGGAACUGUCUAGACAAGGAAAACAUGGGGGAAAAAAAAUGGUGCUGACGACAGCACAAAGCAUGACACACAGGGAACAGAAACGGAUAAAACUAUUUGUGUCAUUGACACUCCCCACCCCUUUGAACUGAAUAGCAUUUGUGAAUGGCUGCAUUAUUAACUAAGCUUCAAUUUAUCUCUGUUAUUAUUGCCACUAUUUAGGGCAGUUAUCACUGUGCUAGACACUGCCCUACACAGAGGUAUGACAAUCAUUAAUAAUACAAGGAAAUACAGAGUAGAAGAUGACUGAAUGUGUAUGUUCAUCUCAGAGACCAUUUUGCUACAUCAUGACAGCCCAUUUUGGAGUCAAUCUGAACACAAAGGUGGAAAGAGCCUUUACAGACAAAUUGAGAAGUUGUACUAUUGAUGAUGGAGCUCGUGCAGAGCUAACUUAUACAGAAGCCAUGUGGAAGCAGGGGUGAAGUGUGAUAUACUGCACCAGAGAAACAAAUAAACUUCCAGAAACAGAGGCACUUGUCUUCUAACUGGGUUAGAAAAAGACUGAAUGAGAUGAAUACUAGGAGAGAGACAGGUGUCGUGUUCAAAUAAAUUGAUGGCUAGAGAAGAUAACAUACAAUUGGUGAGAAAUGGACUUUGACUCCUACGGCAUGAGCAAACACACCUUGUAAAGACAACAUGCACUGCACAAAUGGCUUGGAACUGCCAAGUAAAAUGAAUUCCAAGUAAAAGUUAGGACACUGAAGCACUGCCUAGUGACUGAGUAAACUAACACCAACUGUGCAAAAUCUGAUUUCUAUUCCAAUACAGAGAUGUGGUACUGAGGUCAGCAUCCACUUACACAACCUUAGGCCCACAGUAUCACCACAAAGAUCACAGGAGUUUCAACAAUGUUAUGGAAAAACUCAAAACAAAAGCCUGGGCUCAGAAUUUAGAAUUGGGAAGUUGGACUCCAACCAUGCUCUUUAACCCAACCUUUUCAGCAGUGAGAAAAAAAAAAUGGAAGAAAGGAAGCACCUCAUCAAGACAUUCAGCGUUACACUGACACAAAAGUUGUUCUCUUGGACCAACCUGUGAAUACAUGUAGAUUCUUUAAAAAGACCUGGAUUCCAACUCAAAUAAAUAACAUCAUAGUACUGGCACAGGUCCUCCCAGGCAAUCCAGAAAAUCCCUAAAAAGGAAGUGCUGUUAUUGUUUGCUUACCAGAAAUGUUUAAUUUACUCAUUUUUCAAGAGUCCCUUUCCAGGCAAAUAAUACAGCUGAUAUAAAUCCCAAAUUUAUAUGAAACAGAGUAGUAACAUCUGCACUGCCUACAUUCCUGAAGUUAAACUUAACCCACAAAGCAAACAAGUUAAACCAAGAAAGAUUUUUAACUACCAGACUCUACGGAUGCACUAAUUCCUUACUAAAUGGAUCUAUGUAAAUAAUGAGCUAAUCUCUCCUAACUACCAAAAGCCAGGCCUACUAUUCUUACAUACUGCAUGAAGUUCGUAAUAAAAUGGUAAAAUCUAAUGCACUUGGAUGCAUACUGUUGUUGAAAUGAAGUGGCAUUAAACAAAAGGGUUUCCUCACUUACUCCACCUGUUUCUUGUGCUCAAGUGUUUCUUUCCACCUUUCGGCAGGGAUAAACCACCAAGGUCUGCAUUAUUUGAAUAUAUAGUGACUUUCUAUGCCUUAUUACCGUUGUCUAUUUUCUGAGCUGUUCUUGGAUCAAAGUUCAAGUAUUUUUGUAAAUCUGGGGUCCAACUUCUUGUGUCAUUUUCACUGUAUCGUCCCUUCCAACGUAAGUGGCUCCAUGGAUUUUUCAACUGGAGGAAUCUAAGCCCCUGAAAAAACACAGGAUAAAACUGCUGGAUUCACCUUAUCAAGGUUAUUUCUCUAUUUAUAUGAACAUGGAAUAGUGAUCAGCAUCUUUAUGAAAUACAGCAUCAUUAAGCUUUCCAGAAUUUCCCAGUUUUUGAAGACAAAAUAAACUAAAGAUCAGUAGCAACCCAUCUUAGACAAAGGUUUCAAGCUGGUAUCUGAACAAAAUGUUCAGUUUUACUUGGUACCUUAUGUUCUCUUAUAUCCAAGACUGCGUAGGCAUGGGUUGGAACUAAACCCCAUUUUUCUCCUUCCUCUUCAGACAUCACACCUGUUGCUGUUGUGAUAAGGACAUCUCCCUUAUGAAAUCUGUUAAAAAAAAAAGUAACAUUUUAAUUAAGCUAUUUUUAACAGCUGCAAACUAACAUUUGACAGAUACUGCAGUAGUAUGUUUGUACAUUGUUAGUAUGAUCCUACUUUAUAGGAAUACAGGUUGUUUAUUGUAAGCAGAAAUCAGACCUGAAGAUACUUCAGAACACAGAACUAUUUUCUUCCAGUAUUUCAGUACAGACUGAAUGUGAUAUAGAAGGUUAUUGUCAUUACAACAUAAAAAUAAGCAUUUGUCAUUCUAAAAUUCAAUCUGCGUCAUUUAUUAAAAAUUCUCCUCACAGAUCUUCAGCUGAACACAGAAAUGGUUUCAUCAACACUUACUUAAAUCACUGCAUACAGUGAAU
rnacentral:lncRNA from 1 species